AUGGAGGUGUUCAUCUUCAUAGUUUUUCAACUCCUGAUGGGGGUUCAGUCUUACAGAUUUCCUAGAGUAAAAGUAUCUCCAGAUGUCAUAAGAGAGUCCAGCUCAGUGAAGAUCAGCUGUGAGACAGAACCACGUGUUACAGUGAUUAAAUGUGCUUUCUACAUAAACAGAGAGGAGAAGAAAAUGAAAACCAGUUCAUCAUGUGAGCUCGAGCUCACUGGUGCUGAAGUGCUCAGAUGGGCAGCUGUAAAAUCACCUGAAUCACUCAAUAUUAUCUGUUACUACACAAUGAUAAAUGAGGCAGGCUCAUUCAUAACAUCAACUGAUUCUGAUCCUGCCACAGUGACAGUUAUAGUUUCAACAUCAACCACUACUGAAAAUAUGACUGCAACAACCAUGAAAACAUGUGAGUAACUGAGUCUGUGAAUCAGUUAUUCUUAUCCCAUUCUGAAUGUCUUCAAAAUGACAAUCACUCUCUCCAGCUCAUGAUUUGUCUAACAUUUUCUAUAAUGUACAGUACAUGACCACACAUUUGAUGAUGAUGUCUUUUCAAUAGCAUUAACUGUAAUGUCCACUUCUGAAACCACAACAUACAGUAAAACUGGUAAGUUGCUAAUCUGUAAUAGUUUUUCUGGUUAUUCUAGAUUAAAUCUGAAAAAUUUCCCCUUCUAAAAACUGAUGGCCCUUGCGAUAUUAUUUUUAUAUUAGCAGACCUCCAAUCCAAGACAAACCUGCCAACCAGUACAGCAAAGGAAACCAUGAGUAAGUUGACUCACUCUUUCUUG
ensembl:lncRNA